CGGGUUGUAAAGCACCUUUAAUGGGGGAGGAGUAGGUGAGCCUUGAAUAGAGUUCAUUGAGGACGUUACCCAAGAAUAAGCACCGGCUAACUCUGUGC
rnacentral:rRNA from 1 species